GAUAAAUCUAGUUUCCGUGCCUAACAUUUGACCGUCCGUCUUAUUUGAAAAAAUUAUGAAAAAAAUUAAAAAGACAAGUCAUUCAUAAAAUAUUAAUCAUGUUUUAUCAUCUAACAACAAUAAAAAUACGAAUUAUAAAAAAAUUUCAUAUAAAACGGACAGUCAAAGUUGAACACGAAAACACAGGGUUUGUCUUUUU
rfam:Oryza barthii chromosome 2, whole genome shotgun sequence.